rnacentral:rRNA from 1 species
AUGGAGGAAACUCUGAUGCAGCAAUGCCGCGUGAGUGAAGAAGGCCCUUGGGUCGUAAAGCUCUUUUAUGGGGGAAGAUAAUGACGGUACCCCAGGAAUAAGCACCGGCUAACUACGUGCCAGCAGCCGCGGUAAUACGUAGGGUGCGAGCGUUGUUCGGAAUUACUGGGCGUAAAGGGCGCGCAGGCGGAGGUGCAAGUCGGAGGUGAAAGCCCGGGGCUCAACCCCGGAGGGUCUUUCGAAACUGCAUCUCUAGAGAGGGUCAGGGGCCGGCAGAAUUCCUGGUGUAGAGGUGAAAUUCGUAGAUAUCAGGAGGAAUACCGGUGGCGAAAGCGGCCGGCUGGGGCCACUCUGACGCUGAGGCGCGAAAGCGUGGGGAGCAAACAGGAUUAGAUACCCUGGUAGUCCACGCCGUAAACGAUGAGCACUGGACGUUCGGAGGGUUCGACCCCUCUGGGUGUUUCAGCUAACGCAUUAAGUGCUCCGCCUGGGGAGUACGGUCGCAAGACUA